rnacentral:rRNA from 1 species
AUACGGAGGGUGCGAGCGUUAUCCGGAUUUAUUAGGUUUAAAGGGUGUGUAGGCGGGAGCCUAAGUCAGUGGUGAAAUCUCACAGCUUAACUGUGAAACUGCCAUUGAAACUGGGUUUCUUGAGUAUAGUUGAGGUAGGCGGGAUGUGUAAUGUAGCGGUGAAAUGCAUAGAUAUUACACAGAACACCGAUUGCGAAGGCAGCUUACUAAGCUAUUACUGACGCUGAUGCACGAAAGCGUGGGUAGCGAACAGGAUUAGAAACCCCGGUAGUCC